AUACUUUGACUGUAAAUUUUAUGUAAAUCCUUUUAUCUUUAUACCAAAUUUAGAUAAGAAAAAUGCCUUUCGGUAAAGCAAAAAAUUAAGACAGAAGUUAGUAUCUCUUGUGCAGAAACAGUGAAAAUAAAAAUCUGAAAUCCAACACCUGGAGAAAAAAAAUCUAAUUUUAGAGGAAAGAAUGAGAGAGUCUGUUUUAGUGGGCAGUGGAUAUACUGCAUGUAUUUUAUGUAAUAGUCUUGCACAGUGGUUAAGAGAAUACACUUUGAAUCAAGUGCCGAGGUUCAAAUUUUGCUGUAUUAUUUACCCGCUAUAGUUCUGGGCAAGCUGCUAAAACUUUCUGUGCCUGUUUCUUCAUCUGUAAAACAGAGUUAAUAAUACCUCACAGGGGUGUUCUGGGGCUUAAGUGGGACUAUAUAAAGCAUGCAGAUGAGUACCUGGCACACACAUACGUGAACUGGGAAUGUAUUAUAUGCUCUCUUAGUGUUUACCCAUUAUUUUGUAUAGCACACACUUUCACCUCUCCGCCAGUAAUGGUGAAAACUAAUAGCAUCUGUCCUUUUGUUUCCUGGUCUCUACUGAAAUCAGAGUCACAUGUGCAAGCUGAAUGAUGCCAUUAGGCCCAUAACCGGUUGAUCUCAUUCUCCUCA
rnacentral:lncRNA from 1 species